UGGUAAUUCUAGAGCUAAUACAUGCUAAAAACCUCGACUUCGGAAGGGGUGUAUUUAUUAGAUAAAAAACCAAUGCCCUUCGGGGCUCCUUGGUGAUUCAUAAUAACUUAACGAAUCGCAUGGCCUUGUGCCGGCGAUGGUUCAUUCAAAUUUCUGCCCUAUCAACUUUCGAUGGUAGGAUAGUGGCCUACCAUGGUUUCAACGGGUAACGGGGAAUUAGGGUUCUAUUCCGGAGAGGGAGCCUGAGAAACGGCUACCACAUCCAAGGAAGGCAGCAGGCGCGCAAAUUACCCAAUCCCGACACGGGGAGGUAGUGACAAUAAAUACUGAUACAGGGCUCUUUUGGGUCUUGUAAUUGGAAUGAGUACAAUUUAAAUCCCUUAACGAGGAACAAUUGGAGGGCAAGUCUGGUGCCAGCAGCCGCGGUAAUUCCAGCUCCAAUAGCGUAUAUUAAAGUUGUUGCAGUUAAAAAGCUCGUAGUUGAACCUUGGGCCUGGUUGGUCGGUCCGCCUCACCGCGUGCACUGAUCCGACCGGGCCUUUCCUUCUGGGGAGCCGCAUGCCCUUCACUGGGUGUGUCGGGGAACCAGGACUUUUACUUUGAAAAAAUUAGAGUGUUCAAAGCAGGCCUAUGCUCGAAUACAUUAGCAUGGAAUAAUAGAAUAGGACGUGUGGUUCUAUUUUGUUGGUUUCUAGGACCGCCGUAAUGAUUAAUAGGGAUAGUCGGGGGCAUCAGUAUUCCGUUGUCAGAGGUGAAAUUCUUGGAUUUACGGAAGACUAACUACUGCGAAAGCAUUUGCCAAGGAUGUUUUCAUUAAUCAGUGAACGAAAGUUAGGGGAUCGAAGACGAUCAGAUACCGUCGUAGUCUUAACCAUAAACUAUGCCGACUAGGGAUCGGGCGAUGUUAUCUUUUUGACUCGCUCGGCACCUUACGAGAAAUCAAAGUUUUUGGGUUCUGGGGGGAGUAUGGUCGCAAGGCUGAAACUUAAAGAAAUUGACGGAAGGGCACCACCAGGAGUGGAGCCUGCGGCUUAAUUUGACUCAACACGGGGAAACUCACCAGGUCCAGACACAAUAAGGAUUGACAGAUUGAGAGCUCUUUCUUGAUUUUGUGGGUGGU
rnacentral:rRNA from 2 species